rnacentral:tRNA from 1 species
UGAAAGUGCAAUUGUAAAUGUUGGGGAUACUAGUGGUCUUCUUGUUGGAAUGAGUGUCGCUGAAUAUGAACCAAGUGACUUUACUAAUG